rnacentral:tRNA from 1 species
GCCUAGGUGGCUCAGUCGGUUAAGCAUCUGACUUCAACUCAGGUCAUGAUCAGAGUUUGAGCCCUGCGUUGGCU